UAGAAUAGAAAUUGCAACAAAAAAAUCCUAACUCUAAUAGAAUACUAACUAAAUUCUAAUUAGACUAUAAUAAUGCUAAGCAAGCUUUAAUCAAAUUCAAAGAAACCUCAAAGAAAUUUUGAAGAAAGAAUAAGAAAUCUUAAAGAAAUAUUAAAAUGAUCACAAAUAUAUUUCAAAUACAUCUCAAUUCAAUCUUAAUUUAAUCCUAGUUAAAAUCCUAUUGGACUUCAUUCAAACUUUAGGCCAAAACUUAUUAAAUCUUAAACCUUAAACAAAUCCUAAUAAAAUCCUAAAUCCUAAAAUAAAUCCUAAAUCCUAAAUCAAACCCUUAAUCCUAAAUCAAACCCUAAAUCCUAAACCAAAUCCUAAACCUCAAAUCAAAUCCAAAAUCCUAAAUCAAAUCCUAACCAAAUUCUAAAUCCUAAAUCAAAUCCUAACCAAAUUCUUUACCUUAAAUCAAAUCCUAAAUCUUAAAUCAAAUCCUAAACUCUAAAUGAAAUCCUAACCAAACUCUAAAUCCUAAAUCAAAUCCUAAAUCUAAACCAAACCCUAAAUAAAUCCUAAACCCUAAACUAAACCCUAAUCAAAUCCUAAUAAUUUCUAUAACAGAAUUAAACCUCAAUAACUAAUUAAUGAACUGUUGAUUUUAACUCAAAUUUUUAAAACUUCUUAAAAAUUAAGUUAGA
rnacentral:lncRNA from 1 species